rnacentral:lncRNA from 1 species
GCCAGCUUAGAAUAAACCUUUGUCUAUAUAUGCCUAGUUGCUACGGUGACAACAACAAACCUAACAGCACAGGGCAGGCAGACUGUGACCCAUUGCCUGAACGGAGAAGCAUGAAAUAGUAGAAGUGACUGAGACAAACAAGGUUUUUUUUUUGUCUCUGCUGAAAUUACCUCUGCUUUCUUUGAUGCUGAUAUGUAGCAGUCCCUAGAGGGCAGAGAUGCCUAUUUCCUCAGGUGCAGCAGGGAGAGCCGGAGCUAAUUCUUAUUUGAAAAGAUACUUGGAAAACCUUCCAAAAGAGAGAAGGAAGGAUAUCUUGGACACUUUAGUGGGUGCUCAUCACAACCAAUCAUGUAUCUCUGGUUCAAUUGGAGACAGCAUGGAUGUGCUUUCCAAAGAACUGACAAGAGAGACUGCUCAGCACCGUCGCAGGAGCAGGGAGGGAGAUGAGUUUGGCAGGCAGUCUGUUAAAGACGGCUCCAAGAAAUCUCACACAUGUGCCAUUCUUUAG